rnacentral:rRNA from 1 species
CGGUGGAGCAUGUGGUUUAAUUCGAUGAUACGCGAGGAACCUUACCUGGGCUCAAAUGUAUGUUGACGUAUUCUGAAAGGGAUACUUCUUCGGACAAUAUACAAGGUGCUGCAUGGUUGUCGUCAGCUCGUGCCGUGAGGUGUCGGGUUAAGUCCCAUAACGAGCGCAACCCCUAUCAUUAGUUGCCAUCAGGUCAAGCUGGGGACUCUAAUGAAACUGCCUACGCAAGUAGUGAGGAAGGUGGGGAUGACGUCAAAUCAGCACGGCCCUUAUGUCCUGGGCUACACACGUGCUACAAUGGCCGGUACAGAGCGCAGCGAGGCCGCGAGGCGGAGCGAAUCGCUUAAAGCCGGUCCCAGUACGGAUUGGAGUCUGCAACCCGACUCCAUGAAGUUGGAAUCGCUAGUAAUCGCGCAUCAGCAUGGCGCGGUGAAUACGUUCCCGGGCCUU